AGCGGGGUAGAGGAAUUGGUCAACUCAUCAGGCUCAUGACCUGAAGACUGCAGGUUCGAAUCCUGUCCUCGCCU
rfam:Triticum aestivum genome assembly, contig: Triticum_aestivum_CS42_TGACv1_scaffold_501363_6BL